rnacentral:tRNA from 1 species
GUCUAACUGGCGUAGUGGUUAGCGCACGAGCCCCGGUAAGGCGCGAGACUCGGGUUCGAAUCCCGCCUGAGACG